GGUAAUUCGAGAUUGCAAUAAUAACUUAAAGCGGAACUCUAAUAUCAAGCUUAAAUAGGCUGUGUCAUUAAAUGUUAAAGGAACAUUCUAACAGAAAUACAACAUGUAUGUCUAAUGUUAGAAUGUUUUCCUUCCGCGAAAACCAAAACAAAGAAUUUUAAAUUAAAUUUUUUUCCUUUCUCUUGCCGGUACCACUCUGUCU